rnacentral:lncRNA from 13 species
AUGGCUCUAUCCUCCCUCCCUAAUGUUUGUUCCUUUUUCCGACAAAUCUCUCUCUGCCUCACCAUGCCGCCCCACCAUCCCUCUCCUCCUAGCGCUGUGGUACCCUGGGACAGACAGACUAAUCUGAGAGCGAGCGAUCCGUCACUGACCCACUUAUACACAGCAGCAAACUACUUCCUGCCACUGGCCCAGCAGUCUUAUGGCUAUUUUAGCCAGCCAGAUCGCUCAAGAUUGACUUCGGAGUUGGACGUUUUCAAUCCCAGUGGUAGGCACUUGUUUAUUAUGGUUUUGUUUGAACCCUAUCCCAAACCUUAACCCUUAACUUAACCAUUCAGAAUGAAUGCCUAACUUAAUGUUUUAACCCUAUCCAAAACCUUAACCCUUAACCCUUAACCUAAAACGUGGUAAUUGGUGGAUGAAGUCUCUUGUCUUAUCCGGUGUCCUGUGUGAAUUUAAGUAUGUUCCCUAUAACUCUCUCUUUUUGUCUUUUUUCUCUCUUCUCUCGGAAGACCUGAGCCCUAGGACCAUGCCUCAGGACUACCUGGCCUGAUGACUCCUUGCUGUCCCUAGUCCACCUGGUCGUGCUGCUGCUCCAGUUUCAACUGUUCUGCCUGUGGCUAUGGAACCCUGACCUGUUCACCGGACGUGCUACCUGUCCCAGACCUGCUGUUUUCAACUCUCUCUCGCUACCGCACCUGCUGUCUAUAACUCUGAAUGAUCGGCUAUGAAAAGCCAACUGACAUUUACUCCUGAGGUGCUGACCUGUUGCACCCUCUACAACCACUGUGAUUAUUAUUAUUUGACCCUGCUGGUCAUCUAUGAACGUUUGAACAUCUUGACCAUAUACUGUUAUAAUCUCCUCUCAGCACAGCCAGAAGAGGACUGGCCACCCCUCAUAACCUGGUUCCUCUAUAAAUGUAUUCCUAGGUUCCUGCCUGCCUAAGGAGUUUUUCCUGGCCACUGUGCUUCUACAUCUGCUUUGCAUGCUGUUUGGGGUUUUACACUGGGCAUCUGUAUAGCACUUUGUGACAUCGGCUGAUGUAAAAAGGGCUUUAUAAAUACAUUGAUUGAUUGAUUGGAGCAACUUAGAAAUGUAACAUUUGGAGAAAAUUGGCAAAAUGUCUCAUUCUGCAGUGAGACUGUAAGAGCUUGUUGGUUAGGGGGUAGAAGUUGUAGAUGCUCUGGCACCGUUUGCCAGGCGGUAGCAGAGUGAACAGUCUAUGGCUUUGGUGGAUGAAGACUUUUUCUGGCUUUUCUCUAACACCGUCUUAUAUGAGGUCCUGGAUGUCAAGGAGCUUGGCCCCACUGAUGUACUGGGCCGACACACCACCCUCUGUAGAACCUUGCAGUUGAUUGGGGUGCAUUUGCCAGACAAAGCGCAGAUGCAGCCAGUCAAGGUGUUCUCGAUGGUGCAGCUGUAGGCAUGUAAACACACAGGCACACACAUACUAUGUCAUUCCGUUGUGGUAAUGUGAAAUCUAGAAUUAGGAAGAAGUUGAGUAAGAAGUAUUUUUUUUUCUCAGGGUGAUAGAAGGUCACUGUUGCAACAUGGGAACUUCACAGAUUACUUUACCCUUUAUUGUUUAGAUUCAGUGCACAAGAUGUGGUGUUCUGUUUAAAUCUAAGGAACCUCAGAUGUAUACGCAAUAAAGGGUUANNNNNNNNNNUUCAGCUGGGUCAUCAUGACUAGAGGCUGUCGAAAAUUUGAAACACUGCCUUUUGUUUCUUUAGUGGAAAUACCAAAACAGUCACAGGAAAUACUGAAACAGUCACAGGAAAUACUGAAACAGUUGGAACCAAUUCUUAUACAGCAGAACAGCUUGUCUAUCUAUCUGCCUAUUAAUGUGUUUUUUCCUGACUCCAGGAUUGUCCAAUGAGGGAAAAAUAUAGUGACACCAGAAAGACACAACCCCUCGGUUUGUAAUUAAACAGCCUACUCUUAGGGCCUCCCGAGUGGCGCAUUGGUCUAAGGCACUNNNNNNNNNNACACACACACACACACACGUAGCUAUGUUAUUCUGGUGUGAUAAUGUGAUCUGGAAUUUGUAAGAAGUGGAGUUAGAAGUAUGGAUUUUUCUCAGGGUGAUAGAAGGUUACUGUUGCAACAUGGGAACUUACUUAAUAGAUUACUUUACCCUUUAUUGCUUAGAUUUAUUGCACAACAUGUGUUGUUCUGUUUUAAUCUAAGGAACCUCAGAUGUGUACGCAAUAAAGGGUUAGGUUGGUGAAUUACACUGUCAAUAGUCAUGCUAUAGUCGUGCAUGAUGCACAUAUACAUGAGCAACGUCCACAAACGUACUGCAAAUGAAUCAUCUGAACUGUGUUAUUCAGGACAGUGUUUGUAAGGUCACAUAUGGGUCAAGGAGGACAGAAGGAGACAUUUAUUUUAUUGUGUUUGUUAUAUAUUAUAAAAGUGAUACAACACUAUGUUACUUAUGGUCCUUGAUCAUUGUCACGUAUAAAACGGAUAGUUUGGAUCCUGGACGCUGAAACAUAGUUGAAAUCUCGUUUGAUAACCAAAUUACAGCUGAUAGUUUAAAUAGUGAAAACCAGUCACGUAACACAG